UUAUAAAGCAUAUUUAUAUUCUGUAAUUCUUCGAUUGGAGAAAUUGUAUUUAGUUAUUUUAUAAUUUUAAUUUUGUUAUUGUGUAGAAAAUUAUUGGUAAAUAUGACAGCUAUGUACAACACUUCGCAAACAAUCUAGAUCUAUACCUAUAUAUUAUUUAUCCUAAAGUUGCCACAUGACAACUUUUCCUUCAAGGUUGAGUGUGGACUCCAUCCCGAACAAGCUCAAGUACUUCCUCUUCCUCUUUCUUUGGUUGUUACUUCCGUUCAACGGCAAAAUAAAUCUCACCGCUCAUCAUUGCUUUUCUUAUCGCUGUUUUCUCUUUUUUUUGUCAACAUUUUCUAUGUUUUCUUCAAUUAUCUAUCCGUCCCAUCGCACAAGUUACUACGCUAGUAUAGUCAUGAAAUGCAAGUUAUAGAACGAAAAAUUGUAUGGUUAAUUUGUAGAGUUUAGUAUUUUAGGAGCCGUUUGGUUGGGGAAUAAAGGGGGGAUAAGGGAUUAUCAU
rnacentral:lncRNA from 1 species